GCUGGGAUAGCUCAGCUGGUAGAGCAUGAGACUCUUAAUCUGAGGGUUGUUGGUUUGAGCCCCACGUUGGACA